CCAACUUCAACGUUUUUCAUUUUAAAGUUGUUUUUUUUUGUGGGGUGGGCGGGGGUUUAUUAUUAUUUUUUGUUAAGCCACAUCACCUGGUUUUACAUGGCAAACUUGAGGUUUUCACUGAAGUAGAAGACCACAAAUACUGGCAUUUUCCACCUUCUCAUAUCAAAUAUUAGCAUUUGAUAAGUUUAGAUAUAUCCUAGUCUGCUAAGGAUUCCUAAUAUCAUUAGAAAAGUUUUUUGGCUAGAUUUUAUAUGUUUGUUUCCAUUUCCAAAGUAUUAAUUAAGAGACAGUUUUUUCAGAUGGCUGAUGCCAUCAACACUAUAAAAGAUGGGCAUAGCUACUUGUUUUGAAGCCUCAAAAUGAGUGAUUUUGGCAUUGUGAAACCAGAUGUAGUGGAGCCAAAGUAAGCCAUAGUGAGCAUAUCCUGGAUAAUCCUCCUUUCUGACAUACAGAUUGACCAGAAUAUACAAAAUAAACUUAACGUUUUAGACAGUGUGACCCGAAAUGAGCAACUGACCUGAUAAACUCGGUAGCAAAAUGUUGACAGACAUGCAGACAGAGGGCCGUUUUCUUUACUUCUACAGAAACUGAAAUCUCAGCCUAUUGUUGGCCUUUGGAAAGAAUGCCAUCUUUAUUAUAGGACUUGUAUGGGUAUAGCAUGACACAUGUGCAAUAAAGGAAAAAAUCAAUUGCAUAUUGAUCAUUUUAAUAGUGUUUAUCAGCAUAGAUGUGUUGUUCCAAAGUGACCUACUGCCUUGACCUUUGAAGCAUUAUUCCACUGUAGUCAGGCAGACCUUGUUGGAGACGGUCCAGCUGUGCUAUUAGAUGUUCGGGAGGCACAUUCUCAAAAUAAAGUUGUCUGCAGCAACAAAUCAACAUCCAAGCUCUCUGAAUAAAUCCUUUCUAAUCACAAAAAUAAUAAUAACAGCAUAGAAUGGGAGUAAAAUGCAGAAUUAGCUUUAUCAGGUGACAUGAGAUCUUCAGUGCAGCUGAUUUUUGAUUAGACUUUUUCACAUCUUUACAUCAGAUAAUCAGAGAAACUCCAAUAUGGCUCUGGGCUCCAAUUCUGUCCAUGACUAAUGUUAGAUUAUAUGUUGACCAGUUAUUUAUUUUACAGUACAUGUGAGACAUAUGUAGUUAUUUCUGUUGUCCUGUUUUUGUUCUGUUCUUUACAUCCCACGUUCCUGUGUUACGUCAUCUAAUUUAAUUAAAUUUAAGUAGCUGCUUUUAUAUUGAUUUACUUUUUCAUUGUUUUAGUAUUUUUGUGCUCAAAGCAUAAAAACAAAAAAUCCAGAAACUUUGGUUUUACUCAUUUCAGCUUUGAGUUGUCUUGGUUAAAUCUCUUCAACCUGGAUUUGGGUGGUUUAUCCAAUUCAUCCGAGCUAAUCUGCAUCUUCAAACGUCAUCAGAUUGGAUGGGAAGUGUCUUCUUUGUGCCUCUCAAAAGAUGUUCUGAUGGAUUAAAAUUUUGGCUUGGCCACUUAAGAACCAACAGUGACUUGCCCUGAAGCUUUUCCAGCAUUGCAAUGGCUCUGUUCUUUAGUUCAUUGAUUCAUGGUAUGCUGAAGGAUGACUGGAUGUCUCAGCCUGUGGUAGAAGCACUCAGUAGUUGGGUUUUCUUCCAAAACUUUUUUUUUUUAUUGGGCAAAAACAUGUUGUCACUGUGUUAUUAAGUUUAGAUUAAUCAGGAAAUGUAUAAAUGUAAUCCAACAAAAGCGUGUAAAAAGUGAAGUAUUUUUGAAGCCUCUACAGUUUUGCAUUUAUUUUUUAUUUUUUGGCUUAGUUUUUUUUUUUUUUUUUUUUUUUACUUGAUCACAACCUUUUAACUCACUGAGGACAGGAAAAGCCUAUGUUUUUGCACCUGAAACACGACAACAGUGGCAUGUAUUUAGAUGCUAAUUACAAAAUCCACUAUAUUAAAAUGUCAAUUUCAUCUUUGAGUCAGUGAUUUCUUUUUGGGGUUUGUUUUUUUGUGUGUGUGUGUGUGUUUAAAGUGCAGCUCACAGUUUUCCAUAAAUCAAAUAACACCUUAUGUGAUCAAAGAAUAUUGAGGAAAAAAAGAUUUGAUUGGCUGCUGAUAAAUGUUGAUUUUUGUGCAUCAGUGAACCAGCUGCGAAAGUUCAAAGCUGUUCCAACUUGUGGGGGAGUAUAGCUGUAGCGUGCUGGGUUUACUGUAGGCUGUCAUUCAAAGCAAAUCAAAGACCAGGGCUUAACAAAUGGGUCAUUAGGAAGCAGUAUAUUUAUUAUCAUUUUCCUUUAUUCAUUUAGGUAAACAUCUCAUUAAGAUUAAAACCUCUUUCAUGAGAGACCUGGCCAACAGGGCAGCAGAAGUUACAAUAAAUACAUACACAUAACACUAUAUCAAGCAAAGAAACAAGUACUAUAGCUUAAAAUUUUAACCACAAAUUGAAUCUGACAGUGUGUUAAAUAACAUUUUUUUCAAAUAAAUAUUUGUUACUUUAGUUUUCUUGACAGCUAAACAUAUUAAUUUUCCAACAACAGAUUUCAUUGCCAUAUUGAAGUGCUACUUACAGUAUAUUUGAUUUUUAGAUGUUCAACAAUAAUUUGCUGAUAGUAUGAAGCGUUGACUCUGUCUCCCAGUUACUUGGCAGAAAAUUCUGCCUUUCUGUAGGCUGGUUUGCAGCAUUGUGUAUGUUUUCUACAGGUGUUAUCUUUUAUUUUGGUUGUAAAUUAUGCAGACGUUGUUUGUAUGGGUAAAAUAGUUAUAAUGUACAAGCCACUUAUGUCUAAAAGUAUAGUUGGAAGAGAAACCUCAGUAAAACGAACUAAGUAAAUGUGUGGUUAUUAGUUUACUCUGGCCCACCUUUUAUUCAUAAAGUGAGUGAUGUUUUAGCAGAAGUCUAUCAGCCACUAGAGGGGAGAAGAUCGAGUGGCAGUCCUUGCAUGUUAGCAGUCAGUAGCCAGAUUACACACCUAGCGCAUGUAGACAGGAGUUGUAAUUCUUUACUCCAUUGUUCACCUUCCUCUCAGCUCUGGUUGAGUCUCCUCCAUAAAUUAAACUGGAUUUGUGGCUGUUUAAUGUUUGUGUCUUUGUUUUUUGCCUGUCUGCCGUUUGGUGAAAUUGUUUGGGCUGGCCAGAGCAGCAAGACCAAACCGGGUAGUAAAUGUGCCGUAAAACCAAAACUAAAGCUGAAAGAGGCUAAAAAGCUCCGUACCAUGCUGCAUAAUUGUGAGUUCUCUGUGAGUGUCAGUUUUUAACAUAGUCAUGUCAAGUUUUCGUUGAAAGAAAUUGAUGAAAAUGAAUUAUGAGGCAAAACAUGACAUGCAGUUGCUUAACUACUUUAACUAGAUGACAUGCAACUUAUUAGGACUAAUAAAGUUAGGGAAAUUGCUUCAAUAUUGAUUAACUUUACAAUCGCAAUCGCAGCUCGGGUCAAACAGAUUAACACUAAAAGUCUUUGUAUCUGAGAUCUGAACACAUCUCCAAAUGGGCAAGAAUUUUCCUCAACCAAUGCCUUUAAUUGUGACAAUCUUCUAGGACAAAUUGUCGGUUUUUACCUGAACCCUUCUUCCAAUAUUACUCAUCGUGUCUUCAUUUCAGUCCCACCCCCUCCCUUUUCUUUUUUUUAAAUCUUCCGUCCAUCUCUUGCUGUUUUUGACCGUCAUUUUCUCCAUGAACCUAUCGUGUCUUAAGUGUUGUUUUUAAAUUCACUUUGAAAGUUUACACUGUUUGCGGUCAUGUUGUGCCUGUUAUAAUAACUCUUCUGUCUGAUCCUCUGUAAAGUUUGUGAGCUACUGAAUAUUUUAAUGCAUUAUUGAUUAUAGAUUAUAAAUCAGAGGCAAAAGAGAACAGAAGUCAGAUGUUUUGGGUUUUUUUGUGUAUGUCAGAUUUAUCAAAACAACAAAUCAAUCUAAGUACCUCUAAGAGCUUUUAUUUUUGGAUCUCCUGUGUGUGAAUUCUCUCUGAUGCCUGCGGUUUGUACUCGUUCGUUCAGUUUUCAAUGUGUGUAUCGAUGCCUGUGUGUUUGUUGCACUGUCAGCAUGUUUGACAGUAUGAGAACGGAUUGACCUGUUCAGUGUUUCUGAUGCAGGAGCUGCAAAACAUUUGUUGGUUUUAUCCAGUUUUUUUUUUUGUUUGUUUGGUUUUUUUUGUUUUGUUUUUUUGGCUUUGUUUGCUUUUGUUUUGCUUCUUUUCUUUUUUUUCCCGACAUGUCAGCUGCGACUUGAUACAGAUGGCCACUGCGUCUUAUAGUCAGCUAAAAUGCAUUAUAAAGGUAUCUGAUACCAACCACGGUGUGGUGUUUCUGUCUGGAGGAGGAAGUUGCAAAUACAUUUAUCAUUGCACAUUUAUGUUAAUAUUUUAGUUUCCUUGAUAAAUUGCUCACGAAUUAAACUUACAUAUAUGCAUUUUUAUCUUGUGGAAGCAGACGUGAUUGGCCUAUUAUAUACACUUCUCUGAAUUUUGCCUGUGGGAAUGUGACUGUCUUGACUGUACUUAUUCUACUAAGUUUACAUUUUCUGCCUUUUGUUUUUUUUAAACAAAUCUCUUUCCCCAUGAAAAAAAAACCUUUCAGAAGUGCUCCAAAGCUUGAUAAAUUAUAACAGUGUGUGAUGCAGCAUAAUCCAGCUAAAGUUUAAAAUGUUCCUCCAAGUUGAUGUUUGAAAAUAUAUUUCAUGUAUCAAUCUUUUCAUGUAGUUUGUAUGACUUUGAUGGAUAUAUACUCUUUCGGAAAUCAUUAACCUGAAUUCAAAAACUCCACUAGGUUCACAAGAAACUGUUCUCACCACACUCGGCAGAGCAGUGUCACCACAGGCCAGGUACAGAAAAGCUGUCAGCAUCAUUAAGGUGGCACAUUUCAUUCACUCCCUGGGUUAGGUUACAUACCCAAAGUGUGUGGGGCUAAAAUGAGCAGGGGUCUGCUGGACGAGGAUUUUCAGCAAAGUUUCAGCAAAGCAUUGUUUACUUGCUGCUUAUUCAUCAGAAAUUGUUCAGUAAAUGACUUUUUCCCCCAACAUAGUUUUCAGAGAUAGUUGCAGACAGUCAAGUUAAGAUAGCAAACGUGAAAUAAUGGAAAGUCUUGCUGUUCCUGAUUGCUUGGCUGUUUCGUGUGCUGUGUCACAUAUUGUUAUAUCUAAAGACCAUAAUGCGCCCAGUGAUCUUUAACCUUGUCUGUUGUGCAUUGUCUUUUUUGGCAAAUUGCCUACAUGAGUGAAGAAAAGCAUACAAAAAGAACAAUUACACAAUUUCCUGUAUUGUGUUCUCAUAAACAGACAAUAUAUUUGUCACAAAGUUAGUUUUAAAUGCAACCCCUAUGUGACUGUGGCGCAAAGUAGGUCCUGUUCUGAGUCAGUAGUAAUCACAAAAAGCAAAAAAUAUAAUGUGAUAACUCUUUGACUUAGGAAAAUAGUUGUGUUAUUCUUAUGCAAUACUCAAUGCUGCUUCCAUUUCAGGAAAACCUUGUUCCUCACAACAACAAACAAAACAAAACCCAAAGUCAGUCCAGUCAUUGAAUCUUCUGGACAGGAAUGCCCUGCCGUGGUGUUGACUAUCAGACCAAAAUCAAGAUUUUAUGGUGAAAUAACCAAACCUGCCUGAACAUUUGACCAAAACUUUGAGAAUUUUUUUUUUGUGAAUCAUUUUCUUUUGUCAUGAUUUUACUUGUGUUGCCUUUGACACGAUGCUAGUUUUGUUUGUAACAGUUAUAAAAUGUAAAAAGGAACAAACAAACAAAAAAGCAAAAAGGUUUUGAGAGUGUAAUAAGCCGGAACUGAACGUGUAUGUAUUGAUGAGUAUCUUUGUCAGUUGUUUGCAUUUUAUCUAGCCGAAGCGUUUGUUAUAGAUUGACUUUGCAACUUGAGAGCUGAUUAAAAAUGAACUUAGUACUAUAA